rnacentral:rRNA from 1 species
CGCCUCUUGACACAUARGAGGUCCAGCCUGCCCAGUGACCAAAUUUAACGGCCGCGGUACCCUAACCGUGCAAAGGUAGCAUAAUCACUUGUUCUUUAAAUAAGGACUAGUAUGAACGGCAUCACGAAGACUAUACUGUCUCCCCCCUAUAAUCAGUGAAACUGAUCUCCCCGUGAAGAAGCGGGGAUACACCUAUAAGACGAGAAGACCCCAUGGAGCUUAAAACAAGUUUCACCUGCCCAUUACAAUAUCUUAAUAACCCAGCAGACAUGACUACUAGUUUUCGGUUGGGGUGACCACGGAGUAAAACACAACCUCCAUAAUGAACGGAACUAAACUCCUAACUUAAGAGCUACAACUCAAAAAAUUAAAAUACUAACACACUUGACCCAAAUAUUGAUCAAUGAACCAAGUUACCCUGGGGAUAACAGCGCAAUCCAUUUUAAGAGCUCCUAUCGACAAGUGGGUUUACGACCUCGAUGUUGGAUCAGGGUAUCCUAGUGGUGCAGCCGCUACUAAAGGUUCGUUUGUUCAACGAUUAAAACCCUACGUGAUCUGAGUUCAGACCGGAGCAAUCCAGGUCGGUUUCUAUCUAUAAAGUGCUCCUCCUAGUACGAAAGGACCGGAAGAACAUGGCCCAUGCUAAAACAAGCCAUACUCACCCAUUAAUGAAAACAACUUAAUUCCUAACGACCUAAAACAAGUCAAGGCCAAGACAAGGCCU